rnacentral:lncRNA from 1 species
AUGUGUCACCUUGAGGAGCGUCCCAUCAAAGCAAUGGUCGCAUUGACAAGCUGCAAAGAAAAAAAGUUAAACCUUCAGCGACGUGGACCUGCCUGCAGAUGUAUUCUUCCCCUUGAGGAGGGGCAAGGCGAAGGAUCCGUCGUGCCCUCCUGCCUCCGACCUCCCCCCGGUUCCAGGGCCGCUCCCUGCUUCUGGGUUGCGGGGCGCCGCCUAGGCCCGCGCGCGGGGCAACCUGGAGAAGCUGCACCCGUGCGCGAUGAGGACAAGGGCACGCGCGCCAGAUGGACGCCCUUGGGUCAGGCGCCACACGGACCUGGCCUCCCAGGGCCUCUGCGACCAGACCCAAGCCCAAGGCGAGGACCAGGAGCCAGAGAGAUACAAGCGGGAAGAAACAAACUGGAGGAGGAACAAGUAGAAAAGGCUUUUGGAGACGAAUGCGGGCUGGUGGAAGGUCGCAGGUGCAGACCUUGGCAGUGGAGUCCCAGCCUCCACCUCGACGGAGGAUUUGGCAGAGGCCGGCUAGGGCUGAGGAGUUCAGGACCUUCCAUCACCUCCACCCCACUUCUGCCCUGUGACCCAGGGGCCAAGCCCCUCGCUCCCCAGGCUGCCUGGAAGUGGGCUUCACCUAUGGACUUCUUCAGUGAAAUGUCCUGCUCAGCCGCUGAAGCCACGGCGCACACCGCCCAAAUAUUUGCUCUGACCUCACCUGAACGCAGGCCAACAUCUCCCAGUAUCCCCACCCAGAGACUCCAUCUAGUUCAAAUACUAAACGUGGGACGGAGAAGUCUGUGGUGGCUCACGGGUCCAGCCUCCCCUCUGGCGGCCCCCUCCGCCCACAUCUCCGGCCCGUGGGGCAGGGGCAUCUUUGACACCUCCGAGAAGAAGCUGCUUGUGAACGAAAAUCUCUCACAGUAUAGCCUCGUCAGCUUUGGAAAAAAGAAACAAAGCCGACCCCUGGUGGAAGAAAAUGAAAGUUUAAGAAUUUUAAAGUUUAGGGAUUUCAUAGCCUUAGUUAGGUCUGUAAGAGGGAGCAGAGAAGAAAGGAGGAGAAAGAGGAAAAGGAUAACUGGAGAACUGGAAGAGGCAGAGAACAGGAGAGGCCACACAGCAGGUGGAAUUGAGGGAAACAGCUGGGGAAAAUGAGACCCAGGGAGAAUGUUUCUUUAGGACCUUGACUUGAACAUGCUUUGGUCAUCCUGCGGUCUGGCCAUCCUGGGGCCAGGCAGGGAGGUCUGAUUUCCCUUCUCCCCAGGGCAGGUCUGGGAGCUCUGUGAUCAUGAGAACAGGUGGAGGACACUGGCUGCUGAUUCUUUGCCUGUCCCAGAGAGCAUCCACAUGCCAGAACCGUCCCUGUCUUUCCUCUGAACAAACCUCUGCCCUCACCAU